rnacentral:lncRNA from 1 species
AACGAAUGCACACGACCCCCCGCCCCACGCGCGGAUGUGUCCCCCUCAACCAGCCGGGGUUGCUUCCUCCCUCAGUCCGCGGACGGCGCUGAAGCAGACUUGGGGCCUUCGACUGGCAAAAAAGCAGUUUGAGCAGACAUCUGGAACCAUUAGGUUCAACCAGCCAGGAGAGGGGUUUUCGAAUAGUAGCAGACUGAAGAGAUCCUAUUGCCAGAAUGAGACAUUCUUUCAGAAAAAGAUGGAUCAUUGCUCAUUGAGACAUUUGAGAGGUGAGGAACUGAAAUACAGAGCUCUGGAGGCACACAGUCCACAAAACAAAACAAAAGGAUUCAUAUUUAAACCUAAAUAG